rnacentral:rRNA from 1 species
AGUGAACGCUGGCGGUAGGCCUAACACAUGCAAGUCGAACGGCAGCACAGUAAGAGCUUGCUCUUACGGGUGGCGAGUGGCGGACGGGUGAGGAAUACAUCGGAAUCUACUUUUUCGUGGGGGAUAACGUAGGGAGACUUACGCUAAUACCGCAUACGACCUACGGGUGAAAGCAGGGGAUCUUCGGACCUUGCGCGAUUGAAUGAGCCGAUGUCGGAUUAGCUAGUUGGCGGGGUAAAGGCCCACCAAGGCGACGAUCCGUAGCUGGUCUGAGAGGAUGAUCAGCCACACUGGAACUGAGACACGGUCCAGACUCCUACGGGAGGCAGCAGUGGGGAAUAUUGGACAAUGGGCGCAAGCCUGAUCCAGCCAUACCGCGUGGGUGAAGGAGGCCUUCGGGUUGUAAAGCCCUUUUGUUGGGAAAGAAAAGCAGCAGGUUAAUACCCCGCUGUUCUGACGGUACCCAAAGAAUAAGCACCGGCUAACUUCGUG